rnacentral:lncRNA from 1 species
CACCCACAAAGACUCUAGGCCUCACUGUGGAAAAACUAAUUAAACUAAUGUGAAGUCUACGGAUGGAGGCAUUUUUAUAACAUGAUGUUCCAAAUAAAGGUUAGAAAAUAAAACAAACAUUCAUUUUCUGUCAGGAGACCACACAAGAAAAAUGUAGCUGCAGAAAGUGUUUGCUUGGAGGAAGUUAGAAGAACGCGUGUCCAAAAUCAAGCUUGGUAUGGAAAGCCAGUGUCUAUGAUGAUCUGGGUCCUGCCAUUUUGUGGAUUGACCUGCUCAGAGGAUCACUUUCAACAGGUACUCCCCUGAUUUAGGUGAUUUCCUUAAAGUAACCCCAAGGUUUUUGGAACAAUUUCCUUUCCUUUUUUGUUAAAGAUGAAAUUCUCUCAGGCAACUGAUUUUUGCUUGUUCUUUGGAUGGUUGCUUAAGAGAUGUCCCACUGUACUGAGAGAUACUUGAUACCAAGAAUGGCUGGAGAUUGUUGGGAUGAUACAGAGAAGAAUGAAAGGACAUAUUUAAAAGGAAAGCAAAGACCCCUGGCCACCGAGGAGGGCUCCUUAAAGACUGGGAAUGGACAAAGAAGGGUUCCCUCUGUACACAGGAGAGGAGAUCCAAAUGCAGAAAUAGGGAACAGAAUGUCUGGUAUCGAUGUCGGGAUCAUCUUGAAGUUCUGGAGAAAAAACAACAACCGAAAAGAAUUUCUAGCUAUGGUUGUGAAAGACGAUUAUCACAGCAUAUGACCUGAAGAUCGGUGUUACCUUUCCAUGAGGAUGCCACCCUCUCUGAACUGACAACCAGGCUUUGGAAGCACAAAUCAAGUAAUGCAUAGGGGAGAGCUUGCUGACAUUUUUUUCAUUGAAACAUUUUUUGGACCAAAAAUUGGCUUUUCUGACCAAAGUAAAAAUUUGUGUAGGAAAUUUUCAUUUUGGUGGAGAUUUUCCAGAUUUUUUGACA